GAGGGUAUAGCUCAAUGGUAGAGUGCAUGCUUAGUAUUGACAAGGUCCUAGGUUCAAUUCCCAGUACCUCCA
rnacentral:tRNA from 1 species